rnacentral:lncRNA from 1 species
UUGUCGAGCAUAAACCGAUCCCCAUCCAAUCUCAGUCUAUUGAGAUUGACAACACUAACCAGGCAAUUGAUGAGGAAAUGCUUGAUUAUGCCUCAUCACCUAAAGAUGACAUCAAAGUGACACCUACCCCUAGAACAUCAGUCAAAAGGAAACCAUACGAGGAUCAGUUAUCUCCUGCAAACCCUUCUUUGUGGGAUUCCUCUGUCUUUCAUUCCCCUAGAUCACAGCAAGAUAGAAUUGGAAGUAUACAGAAGUCAAAAUUUGACACCCACUUCAGAAAUCCUCUCAGCAGUGACAUACAGGUUGAAUCAAGAGCAUCAACGUUGCACCUUAUGCCUAAGACAGUGGAGAAAGCAAACUUCAUGCUAGCACCAAGUGACUUUGUUGUACAAAAUUCAGUAGCAAAGCAGCCAAUAAUAGAACAAUUUGGAGAAGAGCAGGUUGGUGUUAACAAAGAAGAAAUGACUGAGGAAGUGUCUACAGUAAAUUAUGAUGAUGAAGUUUCUGAAGCAAAACUUAAGCUGAUUUUGAGGUCUGUAUCAUUUUGUUUAACAUUUCUUUGUAAUAUGGAGUGCUUCUCUUUGACCAAAUGUCUUCUCCGCACGUUUCCCUUACUAGGAUUUGGAAGCGCCUUUCUUUAAAAAAAAGAAAAUUGCGUGUGCAGAAACAGCUAGCAGCAAAUGCUGCUUUGAUGUCCUUAUCAUUGGGGCCUCCUAUUUGGCACCCAGAAAUAGUGAGUAUUUCUUUCUUACCUUUAACUUUAUUUUUAUCGAUUUAAUGCAUUUCACAUAGGUGAAAAGUUAUAGCCGUGAUUAGCUCUGCAUGCCUCACACCUAGGGUUGUUUUUAGCUAUAUUUGGAUAUAUUUGGUAAUCAUAGGUAACAAGAUACUACAGCUUCUUAGAGGGCAUGACAUUUUCAAAAUAUACUCUGUGUGUUCAGCAAUCAAGAUCUCCUGGUGAUUUUAACAUUGACCAGCUUAUGAGCAAGAGACUUGAAAUUCGAGAAAAGUCGUGGUCAAGGUUGAAUGUUUCAGAAGUGGUAGCAGCUGAACUUAGUGGAAAAAAUCCAGAUAGUAAAUGCCUUUGUUGGAAAAUUCUUUUACUGGCUGAGCACAGUUCCUAUGGUGAAAAUUGGAGAAAGGAGUUCUCUGAUUUGGCUGCAGUCCCCUGGCUGGUUUCUAAGCUUUUGCCUCCCACAUAUGAUGACGACUAUACUGCCGAUUUGCCUUUUUCAUCUCCCAAUACGUCAAUAUGGAAAAAGUGGUUUCCAAGUGAAUCUGGCAACGAGGAGAUCUGUUGUUUGACAAUAAUUAAGAAUGCCAAAUUAGAGAACCAGAAUGAGGAACUUGCUGGUGCAAGUGCAAUUGUCUUUCUUGUGUCAGAAUUAAUCCCCUGGGAGUUGCAAAGACAAUGGCUUCAUAACGUUCUGAUGGCUUUACCUUCUGGUACAAGCUUGCCUCUGUUAAUCUUAAGUGGUUCAUGCAGGGAUACUUUAGACACUUCCUCAAUAAUCAAAGAGUUGAGGCUUCAUGACAUGGACCAAUCUCGUAUCAGUAACUUUUCUGUUGCUUAUCUUAAAAGCCAACAAAUGGGUCAGGUUGAUGGAUUUUUUAGUGAUGAGCUGUUGAGGGAAGGGUUACAGUGGCUAGCAAGUGAAUCACCCUCUCAACCUGUACUUCGCUGCAUGAAAACACGUGAAUUGGUACUCUCUCACUUGACUUCUUCAUUAGAGGUUCUUGAUGGCGUGGAUGGUCGUGAAGUGGGCCCAAAUGACUGUAUUUCUGCUUUCAAUGAUGCCCUGGACCAAACUUUGAGGAAAGUAGCUGCUGCUGUUCAUGCAAAUCCUGCCUCUUGGCCCUGUCCUGAAAUUUCUUUGCUGGAGGAGUCUGGUGUUGAGUACAAAGCAAUUUUACAGUAUUUGCCAAGCUUAGGGUGGAGCUCAGCUGCAAGAGUAGAACUGCUUAUGCGUGCAUUAAGUGAUUCUAAGCUUCCGCCUUUUGAGGAUCAUAUCUUUUGGUGGUGUACAAGUUCUAGUAACGGUAACAACAUUGAGAACCAGAGGUCACAGCUGGAAAAUUGCUUAAUCAAGUAUUUAAGUGAAACAAGUCAUAUGAUGGGAUUGCCAUUGGCAUCAAAGGAGGCAGGCAUUAUGCUACAAAAGUUUGCUCAACUCAAGCUGGAUAGUUCAGCUUAUUUUAUUAUACCAAACUGGGCUAUGAUUUUCCAGCGUGUGUUUCAUUGGCGGUUAAUGGAUUUGUCCAAUGAUGCAAUUUCUUCAGCAUAUAUCUUGGUCCAAGAUGACAUUUCCCCGUUAACUUCUGGAUUGCAUGAUAGAGCAGAAGGUAGUACGUCAGUGCCUUACUUGGUCCGUCCUUCUCUUGAUGAAAUGGUUGCCAUUGGCUGUGAUUCUUCAACCAAAGAAAUGCGCGGUUUUGAUCACGGAGCUUCGCGGCCGUGUUCAGCGGCGUGCUAUUCAGAUGGGCAUGAAGUUCCGAAAAUGACUAUUAAUGACAACAACAUGGAGGAUGAUAGAGGGAAUUUUGAGCAAAUCGACACAUCAAUUGCGAAACGAUAUCAUAAAGCCAAUGAUUUGAAGAAUGGUAGCGGAUCCGCUUUGGCUGCCAAGGCCACAGAUGACGCAGACAAAUUAAGUGAACUGUUGGACAAGUGCAAUAUACUGCAGAGCAUGAUACAAGAGAAGUUAUCAAUCUACUUCUAGAACGCUAGAUUUUGCUUUUCAGUUUUUGUAACAUAUGUAUUUCUUCUAAUUGCUGCCCCCACCCGCCAAAAAGGAAAGUAAUAAUUUUUGUCCAUCAUGGCGGGUCUUGUAAUUUAUUGCGGUGAUGCAUUGCAAUGAGAAUCUGACGAGCAUUGCAAGAUUCUUUUAGCUUACAGUUAUAUAUAUCUGGGCUCUUUUCAAGUUUGUCCAUCUGAAGGCUUGAGGCUUGUUAAUGGGAGGUUGUAGCAGCUUGAUGCUGACCAGAAUUGAGUUCCAGCAGCUUUGACGAUUUAGAUGGCACCAGCUCCUUAAUUUCCAGUUGCAGGGAUCUUUUUUACGUUGGCCCAUGUGUUCGUACGAGUGAACUAAAAGCUCAAACUCACUCGUCAUGUCUGAGCUUCAUAAACAAGAAGUAACAAUCAUGUUUCUUUUUUUCUUCCUUUUUAACUAAGGAUUAUCAUAAGAGAUUAAGGCACUUUUAUGGUCAAGUAACAGCCAACUUUGAAGUACUUUCUUGCUUCUGGAAGCAAGGAUGGACUGUAAUAUUCUGAUCAGAAAACUAAAUAUCAAUGUCUAAGCAACGUUAGCAGCUGAUACUAGCAUGAUGUGUCUUUUCACCGCAGAACUGAUGAUAUAUUCAUCUGCUGCAUCAUACACAUUCUGUAUCAAAACAGACCACCGCUCUCUCCCUAAAGCUAUUGAAGCCUUGUUAGCCUUGCUCUUCUAAUAUGUUUGUUGGAGAAGGCAAAAUGGCAGCUCAUUUCAACCAGGGAGCACAUGCUAUUGGGACAUAAUCACGGAAACGAAUGCAACUCUUCAACAACUAGAUUUGAAGAUAAACUUGAAUUUGUGGUCUGCUGCGGAUGUAUCACCACCAGAUCGAUUACCUGCGACAAAAGGUUCAAUCUCUGAGAUGAAUUAUGCACGCAAGACAAUGAUUCAGCAUAAAUCACCCACGCAUGCAUGCACAAUAACACACCCACAAACACUUCUCUCUCUCUCUUUCUCUCCCUUCCAUCAUAGGCUUGUAAUAAGCACUACAAAGAAAGUGAUGCAUUCUGGAAUGCAACAAAUACAAGCAUACAUAAAAGGCCAUGCUGUGUCUUCCACGAGGGGAUAGCUGUGCCUCGUCAAAAUUUCAUGGAUUACUGCCUUGAACUGUAGCCAAAAAGAUUUAAAAAAAAAAAUACAAAUCAUUUGGAAAAAAACAAAAAAAAAAAACAGAAAUUACCAAUUCAUCGAAGUGAGAAAAGGAACCCUAAUGAACCCCCUGGUCCUCUCUUUCUUCAGUCCCUAGAAAAGAAGAAUUUGAGUGUUAUUCGGUUACGGAUAGAAACAGGAUAGAGAAACAAGCAGCAGCACUCACGAUGCAGAUAGCUAAGCCAACAUUGCUGGAGAAGCAACAUUUGCAAGGCUUUGAUCCUUUGGCAUUGUAUUCUGAUAGCUAUAACGUUCAGAAAAAUCACUUCUUACUGAAUGGCAGACUUCAGAUCCAGAAGGCGUGAAAAACACAUCAGAAGUUCCAUUCUCCGUCCUCAGUGCAUCAGACCUUGUUUUCCCUUCGCUGCUAUCACUAUUGGCACUAACAACAAACUAAUGCAGUUUGAAGAAUGUAAUUAGCCAAAUAAACAAGCUUCUUUUUCUCAUUAUACUCAAAAACUGUAGAAGCAGCCCAAGAAUAAGUAUUUGAUAUUAAGACCAGAUCAUACAAAAGAAAUGUGUUGGACUGCAGAAGUGCACAUGGAAGAUGCAGGAAAAUAUCAGAAAGAUAAUGCAAAUAAUUUCGGCACUGGAAUCAUGAUCUUUUCUCUUAUUGGCCUAGGCCACUUCUUUACCCUUCUCCAGGGAUGUUUUUGUGUGCUUGGGAGGCAAGGAUGACUACAAUCCUUCUUCAUGAAAUCAUCAGGAGUUAAAGAAAAGCAACAGAUUGCACUCUCAAAUCAUUGUGGGAAAAGAAAAAAGAAAUCUGAACAAAAAUAUUAUCACCAAAUUUGAAGUGAGACCCAUUUUCAAAUGCUAAUUUCCUCGCAUCACAUGAUCAUACCAACUAGUACUACACAUUAGUACAAGAAUAAAAGAGAGAAAAUAAAAAAGUCAAAGAACUCAUGUAAUUCAUACAUUAGAUAAAUCUCUAAUGUGUACAAUGAUGAUUGUUAUAUCAUCUGUCCGAUUCUCAUGCUCUAACCAUAGUUUAUAGGCUUCUCCAAUAAUAGCAGAACAUGCAUCCUGGGGAUCGGUAUAUCUAGUCACCUAGAGAAAGAAAGUUAAAAAAGAGAAUAGUCAGAACAAUUGUAGUACAGAAGCGCAUGAUCAACUAGUUUAAUGAUAUGGAAGAGUAUUCUCCAAGGCAAAGAGAAUGCAUUGCAUGAGAUCAACAAUCACCUUGCCAAACAUAAGCUAGCCAAAUUGUGUGCCAACUGUAAAGCAUAGCACAAAAUCACAAAAAAAAACCUACUGAGUGAUUAUACCUCCAUUACGUGUAAUAAUUAAUUAAAACAAGGAAAUGCAAUUACCGUAAAUGUAAGCAAGCAUCGAAAUAGUAUAAGACUUCAAUAAAGCAUGAGACUCCAUAGGGGACAAAGUAUAAUCAAGGUUUUGAACACUCAAGUACCAUGAGAUAGCACUUCAAUUUCAAACUCAUGGAUCUUAAAACUCUGCCCUUGUAAACCAAAGACACCUAAAUACUCAUCCUCAAGAUCUUAUAGUGAACUUUACACGUCAAAUUUAAAGCAAUUUAUUGCUCCUCUUUAUCUAGAGUAUGCUACUCAACUCAUCCUAAAUUCUAUCACAGUAAAACAUGACUUGCAUUAAGAAAAAACUUAUAUUACUUUGUUCCACAUAAUUGUAAGCGUAAUCUUGUCUCACGCCAUAGAUUUGGUGUUUGCACUAUUUACUAAUUUGGAUGAGCAUUAACCUUUCGCAUCAAAUGCAUUCAUACCAUCUUUCUCAAAUUCCUUCAUAGCUGCUAUGUCUAACUACAAUUCCAGUGAGAAAUUUCCUUCUCAACCUUCUCUUUUUUUUUCCUAUAUUUUUUAACCUUCUGCUCACCACCUCACAGAGAAAGCUAUGGAUGAAGGAGCCACAAUAUGCUGACACAAUCAAAUAGGCAUAUUUCCUUUAGUAGGAGCCUUAGCAGAGAUUCACAAUAUAACUUCAUGUCAUGGAAAAGAAAAAAAUGGAACUGCUGCUGUUCUAGUUGUCAUCUGAACUUGGUAAAAAGAUUUUCUCUGGUAGGAAACUUCACAAGAUAUUGAUAAUUAAUUCCAAUUAUCUAGGAUAUGCCAACUUAGUUAUUAAUACUAAUUUGUUUACCUAACGUUUAUGAUCUAUGGUGCUAAUUUAUCAAUGCGCUCUAGGUAACAUUAUCUUCUUUCAUUCGUAAACAGAAGCUUCAUAAUUCAGCUAAACCAGGAUUUCAAUUUCUGCAAAGUUUGAUCAAGAUUAUAUCAAUAUUUAAUUACAUGCUGUACAGGAUCUAGCUUACAAGAACAUUUAACAACUUUUGACCGAGACAACAAAGAAAGAAAAGUUAAAAACAGAGACAGAAUACUAGGAGGAAGUAAAACAAGGGGGGCUACUCAUUGCUACUUUGACCUUUCCAGAAUUUUUAAUGUGGGCUAGCAUUUUUAGAUAAAUAACAUCAAAUGCUGGCAAUGACCCAAAAAGCGACUAGCCAUGAACAUGUGAAACUUCCAUGUUAUAAAAAAGGGGGUAAAAAACUAAUUGACUGUCAGAUUAUCACGGCCAUGAAAGGCCUUGGAACAGGGAACGACAAAGAGGAACUCAAUGUUAUCAAGCUUAUUACGUACCAUAUCCACUACAGUUUGGCUGGAGAGGAACUCAAAAACACCAUCACUGGCAACGACAAAGAAUGGAUGACUCGAGGUAAGGUGAACUGCUGAUACCUCAGGAACAGCAACUACACCAAUCUUCUCUGCUGUGCUAUCCCCCACACUCCGUGUAAAUGCCGUCCCAGGAUACAUUCCGUUCUGAACCCACAGCCUUGGUGGAUCACCACCUUCAGUCUCUUCAUCUCCCCAUGUCUGAAUUCCAGGAUCUUUAAGCCCUUCCACUUGAUCAACACUUAAAACACGGGCACCACAAAGUUUAACUCUCUCACAUUCAUCUUUCCUAAAUGGUGUCUGGUCAUAAGACAAGUCUUCAGCAACAAGCUUAUUCUCUUCCUUAACGGCCAACACCGCCCUUGAAUCACCCACAUUGGCCACAUAUAGCAUAUCCCCAACAACAAGCACGGUGAUAGCUGUUGUACCACUCAUGGAAUCAUCAAUAUCACUAAUAUGUAGUUCUUCAUUUGUAGCCAAAAAUGCAGAAUUAUAAGCCUUAACAGGAUCAUCCAACAAUGUAGGGUCAUUUGAUAAAAUCUCAACAAGCCUAUCUUUGACAAACUUUGAACAUUGUGUACCAAACUGCCCAUGCCCAUCAAAUACCCCAAAGAAAUGCACAUUUGGAUUACCCUGAAUAUGGGUUUUUAUACAGUAGCUGUCUUGAUUUUCUUUAUCAGGGGUUUCAGGAUAGUAGCCCCUUUGUGUAACCACAGAAUAUUCUAACCUGAAUUUGUGGGAUGGCACAUGAACAAUAUCUAAUGACCUAUCAGCAAGUACAUGUGUUCCAUGACCGGUAUAUGUACCCAAUUCUUCUCUUCUACUACGGUCUGGAGAUUGAGGGUAUCUUCCACAACACUUCCCAUGAAUACAACCCAUUCCUCAAUGCACUUUCAACAACCCAAAAUAAUCUCUCAGACACACACCCGCUAUUAGCAGAAAGUCCUGAAAGAAAGAAAUGCUUGAGAAGAAACAACCUUACACGGAAAUGCAAUCCUCAGCAAAAAGGGCCAGAAGGGUCUUCCUCAAAUCCAACAUUAUCGAUACCAAAUAGAGAAACCCAUUAAAGUUGAGAACCACCAAUUGACGAACCCUACAAGUAAAACAAACCCAAAAGUUUCCACCUUUACAUAAAUUUAUGAUUACCAAAGGUUACCAAGAAAAGUUUCUCAAGAUUGGGGGAUGACCCAAUCAAGAAGAAAUGAUCAGAGAAAGGAAAGAAGAAUUCGAGUUGACACUUGACAGACGGAAAGAAAACCCAAAAGGGCGAAGAUGGUAGAAACAAAAGAGGGGGAAAAAAAGAACCCAAAAUCAAGCCUAACAAGCAAAAGGUGGAAACUUUUUUGCUUUGAUCAGACAAUGGCUUUUUCUGAAAUAGUCAGAGAACAGGGCAUGUGGUGUAGGGAUUGUGGGGUCCGUACAAGAAAACAAGAUUAUAUCCAUAAAAACAAAGAUCCUGGCUUGAUUCUUUGAUCAUUAGUCUGGAGCAUGAUAGAUGGAUAGAUUGAAUUGGAAGCGGUAAUUGAACUGGAGUCUAGCCCGGAGAGGUGGUGGUGGGUUGGGAUGGGAGAGGAAGAAGAAAAAAAAGGGAAGGAAAUUUUUUUUUUUUUUUUGUAUGUUUUGUAUAUUUUGAAGUGGGUAGGUAAAAAACAUAGAGAAGUUUUUUGGGGUUCCUGUAGCAAAAGUUGUUAAAAAACUAGUAGGUAAAAAAUUUGCUUAAAAACCUGACUUCCAAACAGGCCUGUAUUUGGGACUGACACCGGUUUAUUUCCCUUCGCCUUAUUUGGGAUCAAUACUUUUUUUUUUUUUAUUUCCCAACAAGAGUUCCCUUUGAUUUUCUCAAUCUAUAUUAGAAUUAUCGGAUUUAAUUUUAAGCACUUGUAUUAUUACAACAAAUAAACGUUUUUUCAACACCUAAGGGAGUUUUGAAAAUGGUAAGUUCACAAUCCUCAAAAUAGACUUUUUUUUUUUUUUUAAUGACAAAAGAGAUUGUACAAGUGAAAUAUAUUGAGAUAUCGUAUUUAAAAUAUCUAUUUAUGACCAAACAACCCCUCUUGCAUAUGUAAUCUCUUUUGGACUAUUCCGAUCGCAUGUUACACUUAGCCGUCAACGAAGAACUACGAAAAUGUUACGAGCCUUAAUUUCUCUUUUCUGCAAUUUUUUAAACAGCAAUCAGGCCUAAUUUUCUAUUAGUACUAACCUGGCUUCCCUAUUUAUAAUUUUGUUGAACAUUUUCUCCAAUUACAAAGUAAUAUUAAUGUAUAUUUGUUCUAUUGUAGCACUAGUAUCUAUUUUAACGAUAAGAGUUAUAAACGAGUUGAAUUAAAUCGAAUCGAAUCGAAUUUUGGUUGAGUCGAGUCGAGUAUGAACUUAAUUCUACUAAAAUCGAACUCAAAUUUGAACUCGACGAGUUUUCAAUGUAAAACUCGAGUUUGACCCAAACUCGAGUUUGAGUUUAAAAAAUAAAAAAAAUAAUUAUUUUAUUUUUAAAAAUGAAUAAAAUAAUAAAUUUUUAAUGAAUAAUAAAAUAUUAUAGAUGUAUAAGUAAUUUUAUUGUUAAAAUAAAAAAUAAAUAUAUAAACACAAUCAAGUUAACUCACAAGAUAAUGAAGCAAGUAUUUUUGAGUUCAAAUUCUACUUGAUCAACUUGAACUCAAGCUCCGUUAACACCGAUGUCGAGUUGAACUUUGAUUCAAGCGAUUCAUGAGUAGCUCAGCUCGUAUUCAACCUUAAGUAUGAUAUCUUUACGUCGGAGAGGUAAACCAAAUAUGAAUGACAUGACCGCACAAAGGCCAUCAUGCUUUAUUUCAAUUAGCAAAGUAGUUUGGUCUGUCCAAAAAAUUCAAUACUUCAUUCAUUCAACCAAGCAAUUCCAUUUUCUAGUUGAUUUUUUUUUUCAAUUCAUCAAUUGGGAUUUCUGGUUUUUUAAUGACUAUGAUUAAUUAACCAAAUUGCGAUUUCCAGUAUUUUUGUAAUCAAUAGCAAAUUUGAUUGAACAAAUGGUCUAUAGCUUCAAAUUGAGUUAUGGACCAUAAUAUUGAAAUAUUCCUUAAUUUCAAGAGAUAUGAAUAAUACCACAUAAGAAUAGGUGGAAUUUUGAGUAAUUAAAUAAAAAAGUAAAUUGAAAUUGAUGAUGACCUCAAAGACAUUAUUCGCUUUAAGAAAUGUUAGCUGAAAAAAAUGCUAAAUAAGAAUUGGUGAUUCAUGUUAUUUACCUUUAAGUAUUAUUGAACAAAAUUUCAAUUGAUCCAAAUAAUUCACAUUUGAAACUCACUCCGUAGAUUCAAAUAAAAAUAAAUUUUGUUAUUGCAAUUUACAAGUAUCUCAAUUGGUAACUAUUCGAAAAUGACAUUAUAAACUUAUCUCAAUCGGUAAUCAUUCGAGAAUGGUAUCAUAAACUUUAACGUAUCAUUUAUUGUAACUUAAUUUCUUAUUUAUAAGCUGGUUUGAUGAAUUAUUAGUUAGAUGUGCACUGAAGAAAAAAUGAUUUAAUUGACAAAACAAUAGAAAAACAAGAAAAUGAAAAGCCCAAUACUAAAAAAUUAAGGUUAAACAGAAAAAAAAAGGAAGAAUAAAAAAAAAGAGGGUUUGGUUUGGUCAGCACUGGACACGAGGGAGAGGCUUAGAAAAUUGAAAAGCUAACCAACUGUUAGCAAAUUUUGACUUAACCGACCAACUAACCAACAUGGACCCGCGACCAAACCCAGACUCGAUUCCAACUCAUCCGUCACCGUCAGAGCCACCACCACCAUCACCGUCGCCAUCGCCGCAAGUUCUCCACCAGUCCGACGCAGACGAAGACGACGAAAACGUCAAGCAGCUUCAAGAAUGCUCUUCUCUCUACCUAUCCUUACAGGUUCUUUACUUUUUACUUCUUUUUUUUUUUUUAAAUUUAAAAUCUGAUAAAAUCUUAAACCCUAGACCCUAAAAUUGAUCAACUAAAUAAUUGCAGGAUUGUCUUAUCAAAAGUAACCGAAAUUGGAAAGCUUGCCAAACAGGUGCUAGGCUUAUUGUUAUCAUCCAAUUGUUAAAGUUUCUUAUUUUGUUCCUCCUUUUUUUUUUGUUUAACUUUUUAAUUAUUUAUGUUAUUCAUUUUAUUUAAAUAUUGAGCAGAAGUUCAAGCAUUGAAAGAGUGCAACGAAAGAAGAAAGAGUAGCAAAAAGAAAUGAGGAUGACGCUGACGAUGAGGAGCUGGUUCAUUUAAAUUUUUCUUUUUUAUGAAAUGAGUGACCAAAGGAUUUAAUUGAAAGGGUACACUUCAUUCUUCAGUUCAGUUUUUGGAUCAUUUUUUGUUGAGUUUUUGUGAUGGAUGAGUAAUUCUUUGUUUGGAAUAUGACAUUUAUACAAGGAGAAGAAAUGAAAAACUAUUGAAACUAAUUGUAUUCAAUUAUGGACAAAACCAAUGAAGAAAGACAAAUUUGUGGAAUAACAUUUUCCUUAAUUUGUUUUUUUUUUUCUUUUGUUCUCUGUGUAUGAUUAUAUACGAAGCUCCUCAUUGAAGAAGACCUUCAGAAAUGAAAAGCUAGCAUCUUUUUUCUCUUUUUUUUUUUUUUUGAAAAAUUCCAGCAGUUCUGCUGAAGUAAUUGAGUUUCAGAGUUAGGAUGACCUAAUGGAAUUUACAUGCUAGAGUAAAUUUUGUUGUUGCUACACUAUUGUGUUUUGAGAUGAGGAAAUUGGAUAGUGGGAUCCCAGUUCCUAUGAUGACAAAUGCAAUCUAAGAACUAUAUUGGUUACUUCAAUCACAACGUCUAAGAAUCUAUGAAAGCAUGAGCUUUCUCAAUUGUACUCUUUUUUAAGUUCCCUACAUGGCAUCUUGCGUGUGGUUGUAUAUAAAAUGGACUUUAUUUUUGGGUAAACAAAGCAAAGAUAGCAGCAAUAGCAAAGAAGCCAAGUGCCAGAUCAGGAUGAAGAUAUGCUAGGAGGAUAGCUGAUAACAUACUACGAAGGAAGAGCGUAGAAGAUAAGGAACAUGUGCAGAAGAAACACAACAAAGAAGGAUAAGUUUCAUAUGUUUAGAAGCAUGCAGUCUCAUAUUACAUUGCACAGAGACUAGGCUAUUACACGAUCAAGCAGAAGAAUUUGCAGGGAUGAACUUAACCGAGAUGCUAUUGACACAGUGUCGUUCGUCUGUGGGAGUCUUGUACCCCUCUCCUUUAAAAACAUGACCUAGAUGUCCACCACAAGCAGUGCAGGUAAUCUCUGUCCUCCUUCCAUCUGGAUCUGGCUGAGAAGUUUCCAUUUCAUUUUAACGUUUAGCAACAUGUGCAUGGAGCUGGAAGGGUUAAUGACAGACAAUAGUUAGCAUCACUCACAGAGCGGGUAAUAGCCCCUGGGAAACCUUCAUAGAAAGCAGGCCAACCACAGCCGGAGUCGAACUUUGUUGUAGAUUUAUAAAGUGGCGUUCCACAUCCACCACAGUUAUACACCCCUUCACCAAAAAGCUUAUCGUAUUCCCCAGUUCCACGCAAUCUGUAUAUCAUUGCAUUGUGUCAGCAAAGCAUAACCCAAGCAAAUGUCAAGAACUGAGGGACGUAACAUUGUCCAAGUGUCCAUGGCAAGCUGGAUAUGCAUCUGGUAUGUUGGAGUAUUCAUAAGGUCUACCUCCUCUUUCUCUAAGCAAGGGACACUUUGAAAGUAUUGGCUCGUAGACCAUUAUAAAACUAGGCUGCAAGCACAGGCCAUCAGCAUAGAAAGAAGAACAUUUCAAAAAUGUCUCCACAUCUUACAUUCAUCCAGUGCCGCUGCAUUAGCUAAUUUAUCAGUAUUGAUUUGUAGAUAUUCUAGUACAACCAAUGCAUUUUAAGGAGUAAUUUUCUUGCUUCAGUCUAACCCAUAUAUGGCUCCUGUAUUGUGCAUUCUAUUCAUCUUUACAUUCUAUUCAAUUACGCUUUUGGCUUAAUCUUUCUUAUUCCCUGGUUUAAUAUAGAAGAAGUGGAAACCUGAAUCAUAACAUGCUGAGGGUUUCGAUACAAGUAGGUACUAAAUUACAGAGAGAUUUAUUAGGCUGGUAAAAAUGUCAUCAAUCCUGCACAUAGACCUGCUACCAUUUGGCCAACCUCCUCAGCCACUCAAAUAAAACAGUUUAAUAAUAAAAAUAAUUGAACACAAGGUUCCCAGCCCCUAUAAUCAGAAGAGCUAUGAUCCUGUUAAAGUCCUCCAUUAGCUACAGGCUAUACCACAAAGUUCAUAUUUUUUUUCCCCGGUGGAAAAGGGGGAGGGAAUGGGGGCACUCUUGCACGAUAAAAACAGAAGAAAGAUGUGGAAGGAAUAUCAUCAUUUGCUGAGCAAAACCGUGAUAUCAAAAUUGUAAACAAAUUAAGCAACAUUAAUUAGAAACCUGGUCCAUAGUAACAGUGAAAAAUCCAAUUAUCACAUGCCAAAAAGAUCAAGAUUAUUAACAGGAUUAAUCAAACAAAGCACAAGGUAAGUGAAAGUCAUCCCAUUUAAGUCAAUAACAUUAUUUAAAAGACACAAGAAAAAGCAAAGCAAAUACUUCUUGUUUCAGUAAAGUGACCAGUCUUUUAUCCAUGCCCAGAAUACUGAAAUGAACAAGAGACAUAAAGAAUGUGCGGAAAUUACUCGGUGCCCUUUUGGCGAAGGAUGUGGAACUGUUCAGGGGUGAGAAUGGCCUGCCAUUCCUCCUCUGAUUUGUGAACUGAAGUGAGCAUUGCUGCUGCUGCCAUGGCUCCUCACGGCUUCGCUUUCCGAUGAAUCUAGACAGGUUCACUUUCGGACAAUGAGGGGAGAUUAGGAACAAUUGGGCAGUUAACAUAUUUGUGGCUGAAAUGCAUGUGGACAGAUUAGUGGACUCAAGGGGGGUUCUAUGGGAAAUAUCAGCAUUUAUACACAGGUCCCCAAGUAUCUGGGAUUUUACGAACCAUUUUGGAAUGAUGAUUGUAGUCAUACAAGUACAAUCACUUAUGCACAAUGUACAGCUCGUUCGAAGUUCGAAGGGCUUAAACUUUUAUUUGGCUUGUUGUCUUUAGAUUGUAGAUUUUGUAGAAACUGAUUAUGGGGAAAAAAAUAUUGAGAGUAAUCGAAUUAGUUAAAGCUAUUGCUGAUAAAUUGUUAAUUUUAAACUUUUUUGUCUAUUGAAAAAAUCUAAAAUUAAGUGCAAAAGUAAAUAAAAUUACCAAUAAAAAUACUUGUCCAAAAUCAGUUGAAAUAAUUAAACCACAACAAGCAGGCGACUGUUGGCCAUAGUCCAUAUUAAGCAUUUUUUUUUUGAAUUUUCCAUUAUGGGUCCGUUUGGUUGGACAUGGAAGUUAUUUUCCUGAAAAAUCACUUCCUUCCCCAUAAUUUUUUCAGUGUUUGGUUAUUAAGUGAAAAUAUUUUCCAAAUUUCUUUUUUCAUAAUUUUCCGGUGUUUGGUUUGCCAAUAAAAAUAUUUUCUGAUAUGUUUGUUGAUAUGUUGCAAAUAUUUUUCUACUCUCAAAACAUUCAUUUCAUUACAAGUUAAUUUUAAUUUCUAUCCAUUAUAAUCAUAUUAUCAUUUCUAUAAAAUAUUUAUUCAUAUUACACCAUUAAUUCUUAAAUGGAAUUAUUAAUGAUACUAAUGAAUUGGAGGGGAAAGAAGAGUUAAAAAUCAAACGAAAAUCUAGCUGAACACUAUUCUUUAUUGGUAUAGUAUCAUGUCAUUAUGUUGUUCCUUUGAAAAGGGAGAAAAACCUAAAUGCAAAGAAUCCUAUAUUGAAAUAUAAACCAAGAAUUCAGCUUCAGAAUCAAAAACCUUAUUCAUGGUACAGAAUUAGAACCAUCGGUACAUACAAGCACUCUAAUCAAGCCUAGAGUGACUAAAAUCCCAAUUUUCUUACUUGUGUCAAAAACCUGCCGAGCCAUAUCAAUCUGGCCAGACAAACAAUAGACAUGGAUCAAAGAUUGCUGAACAAAUUCAAUAGAAUCAAAACCAAAUUUACAUAUGUGGGCAUGUGUUCCUUUCCCACAUUCCAACGGAAAAUCUCGAUUAAACCCCUUGAGCAAGAAGGGGAAUGUGUAGUUAUCUAGUUUCACGUUCUUCUCUAACAUCUUCUUGUACAAAACAAUUGCAUAUUCAGGAUAACAGGUUUGGGAAUAACCCUUUAUCAUUGUAUUCCAGAGGAAGACAUUUGGUUCGAGAAUUGUUUCAAAUACGCGGCGAGCAUAAUCCAUGUCACCAGCAUCUUUGGCGCAACUAAAAGAAAUGAUUUUUGAAUACGCUGAAACGUCUAAAGCUAAGCCUUUCUGGAUAGCUAGGGAGUGAAUUUGCUUAGUUGGUCCAGGGUUUUGCUGUUUUGGAAGAGAUAACCCAGAUUUUGAUGGGCUCUUGGAGCGGGUAUGUAGGCUACGAAUUGGGUAAGCGGUAGAAACUGAGAUAAAAUAAAGGAAAAAUCGUCCAAAACGUCCCUCACAUUUUGUAAAAUGACUUUUUUCGUUCCUCACUUUUAAAAGUGUAAUUUUAUGUCCUUUACAUAUUCACAUCGGUCAAAUUUAGUCCCUAACUAGGUUUCCGAUCAUUUUUUAGUCGGAAUCCAUCAUGUGCAAGGCACGUGAUCAUUUUGAAGGGUAAAUUUGUCAAAUUAUAUUUUACAUAAUCUGAUCUAUAGUCCUCCACAUUUUAUAAAAUAAAUUUUUUCGUCCCUCACAUUUUAUAAAAUGAUUUUUUCAUCCCUCACAUUUCACAAAAUGAAUUUCUCCAUCCCUCACAUUUCAAAAAAUGAAUUUUUCAUUUCUCACUAAUUAUGUGUGUGAAUACAUUUUUUUUUAAACACAUGUAUAUGUCUAUUGCUUAAUAAUAAUAGCAUAAAUACAUGUAUGUAAUUGGGCCCAACUUGUGGACUAUCUUCUAUUUUUGUAUGAUUAUGACUAAUAUUUACCAAUAGAAUCUUAAUUUGCAUAUUCUUAUUGUAUUUUGACCGAAAAUAGCUUUAUUGGUCAACUUGACAAUGAAUGUAAGAUUUUUUACUAACUAAUACUAGAUGAAAUCAAAUGAUCACGUAUAAUAUAUUGUAUUCGUGUUGUUAAGUGAAAUCAAAUAGACACAUACAUAUAUUUAUGCUAUUCGUAUUAUUAACCAAAAUCAAAUAGACAUAUACAUGUGUUUAAACAAAAUGUAUUCACACACAACUAUAUAUAUAUAUUUUUUAGGGUUUCCCUUUCACACAUAAUUAGUGAGAGAUGGAAAUAUUCAUUUUUUGAAAUGUGAGGGAUGGAGAAAUUCAUUUUGUGAAAUGUAAGGGACGAAAAAUUUUGUUUUAUAAAAUGUAGAGGACUAUAAAUUAGAUUAUAUAAAAUAUAAUUUGAAAAAUUUACCUUUCAAAAAUGAUCACGUGCCUUGCACGUGAUGGAUUCCGGCCAAAAAAUAAUCGAAAAUCUAGUUAGGGACUAAAUUUGACCGAUGUGAAUAUGUAAGGGACAUAAAAUUACACUUUUAAAGUGAGGGACGAAAAAAGUCAUUUUACAAAAUGUGAGGGAUGUUUUGGACGAUUUUCCCUAAAAUAAAUAGUCUUUUUGACAGUUCGAUUGUCCACAAGAGAGGAUAAAUGGUCUUUGUCGGAGUUGGAGAUGCCACCGGCGAAGAAGAGAUUUGUUUGCUGAUGAGAUGUCGCUGGAGAUGGUUUGUUAUCACUGCCGAAGAAAAGAUUGGUUUUUAUCGAUGGUUCCUUGCUAGAGGCUGUGAAAAGAAGACUGCUUUACGAAAGGAAAAUAACUUCACAACAAUGAUAGAUAAGGAAGUUAUUUUCCUCCGUGGGUGUAACUUAUUUUCUGUCAGAAAUUAUUUUUCCAAAUUAAUUGACAAUCAGACAAUGAAAAAUAUGAAAAAUGUUUUCCAAAAAACAUUUUCCACCCAAACAAACACAGACCCUAUAUGAUGCAAAAUUGAUGUUGCAUUUUCAUAAGAGUGUUCGUGAUUUGAUAACGAUUUUAUUAAGCCAACUAAUCCAAGUGCUACAAAUGUAUUGAAAAGUUUGAAUAGGUGAAAUUCGAAUCAAUUCACAAUCUAAGGUGUUGAAAUCAGCAUUAAAUGAAACCUUGAGCCUAACAAAAUGAAGAGUACCACCAAUUCUCUUCCAUGUGAGAUCUAAGAUGGGGUUUUGUAGCCAACGACCGAUGCCUUACAAUGGAAAAGCUCACUAUAUAUAUAUAUAUAUAUAUAUAUAUGUAUACAUAUAUGUGUGUGCGUGCGUGUUUGUGUGUGUACAUCCAUCAUCCGAAACGACAGCGUUUGAUGUGGCGCAUCCUCCAUAAAGGAAAAUUUCUUUGUCCCCCCAAAUUAAAUAAAAAAGCUUCCCAUCAGCUUGGCUCUCUCUGCAGUUUAAAACCCCUCCAAUCCCUCACCUGAAGCUAGCCCAGAACAGUGUAAACUCGCAAAUUCCCCUCCAGAAACAAGCAAUUCGGGGAAAAAAAAAAUUAAUCUUAUUGGUUACAAAAUCAAGUGUAUAUGCAAAAACCCAUGUGAGAUAUGUAUAUAUUCAUGUUGCCAUAAGCUCCUGAAACUUGAGAGAACGACAAUAUGUCUUUUGGUGGGGGAUUUGGAAAGGACUCAGGUCCUGCUGCACCAAGAAACCAAACCCCAUUUGGAAAUUUCCCUAGGCCUCCUUCCCCAGCUCAACCCUUUACUAGAUCCCCCGGGUAACUUCCCUUAAUCUUUCUGUAAUACAUGUGCUUGUGUUUGUGAAGUUAUGAACUAUUGUUCUAUGAUUCAGUUAGUUUUGUUUUGGUGUUGUUUAGGUAUCUUAAUUUAUGGUUGAUAUUUGAUAAUUUAAAGUCCAAGGUAGUUUAAUUACCCCAAGAUUUGAUUUUUUAUUUUUUAUUUUGGUGGUGAUUCUUGUUGGAGCUGUAGAAACUAUUGUAGGACUCUGAGAAUUGUACGUGAGAGAGUGUGGGCGUGCGUGCGUGCGUGCGUGUGUGAGAGAGAGAGAGAGAGAGAGAGACUGUGUGCUGUGACUUAAUUAAUUUGGUUUUAUUGUGUUCUUCGUUCAUGUUUAUUUUUCAUUUUGGAUAUGUGCUCCUUUGUCCGGACUCUUGGUGGUUUAUGUGGAGGUAUGCAAGCACUUCAUUAUUUUCCAGAAUGGCAUAAGACUUGCAUCCCUUGUUAAGGUCCUUCGUUGCCAGCCAAUAUGAGAAGUGAUUGAUUGAUGUCUAAAAUAUGAGAGCAAAAAUUAUGUCUUCCUGAUAGAAUUUUUAGUACAGAAUGGCAUAAGACUUGCAUCCCUUGUUAAGGUCCUUCGUUGCCAGCCAAUAUGAGAAGUGAUUGAUUGAUGUCUAAAAUAUGAGAGCAAAAAUUAUGUCUUCCUGAUAGAAUUUUUAGUAAACUUUACCACUGUGGUCUUGGCCAUCAGGUAUUCCACUAUACGGAUUAUUUGCAGGAUGACAGACAUCAUUUUGUUUGUCAUUUUUAGGAAUACUUUUUCAAGGAGUUUUAGUAGCAAUUGCAUGUUAGUGCUCUCACCUUUCAAAGCAUGUACUGUCAGUUUAGGUUAAUACUUCUGGUCUCUAACAAAUUAGUGUCAAUCAUGCCUAAGUUGCUCACAUUGAUUAAUAGUUGAUCUUGCUUUUAUUGCAAGUAUUCGUUCUCAAGUAUGGAGUGCAUAUCUGCUGCUGCUAAUAAAAGUUUUUUUUUUUGGGUUGAAAUAGAGAACCUGAAACUUUCAAGAAAAUUAAUUCACGCCCUUCGGCUUUUGAAAGCCGACGCUUGGUGACGAGUCCAUCUCGACCAUCUGCAGAAUUUUCAAGGUAUUUAUACUUUUUUUGGACAUGCUUUCCAUGUUAUUUAAUUUGGGAUGGCUGUUGAUAAUGUGGGUACCUUCAAAUGAUUUUGGAAUUAAGUCAUAAGUGAUAGAAAAAGAGUCUAUUGGUAUACCUUUCAGUGAUAUAAUUAUGGUGUCGCAUAUUCAGAUCCUUGUAUGAAAUCCCUGGGUUGAAUAAUAGGGUGGUUAUCCAAUUUUAAUAGUACCAAAUGAAACUUUUUGUUCGUUCUAUCUUUUUCAUUCUUUGUUCUUGAGCUAGUGCUUGCCUUUAAUGCUUUUCAAUGGCAUUAUGUUAUAUGCCAUGCUUUUAUUUGCUAGGAUGACCAAAUAAAGAAGAAAAAUCAUUGAAAAUAUUUCUUCUUGUCAUACUGAUGGAUGAAUAUUUUCUCUAGACCCAGUCAAUCUGCUCAUACGUGGAGCAAUGGCCAAAAGUUUUCUUACAAAGACUAUGAUGCUCCGGUUGAUGAAAGCAUUGCAACAGUAGUGCCCUUUGUUCCUUCAAGUACUUUUACACCUAGUGUUCCUGCUAAAGGUUCUCAAUUUCAAGAUACCAGGACAACCGUAUCACCUACUUUGGUGGCUUUUGAUGAAGAGAUUUUGAGAAGAUCCAUAGAUGUUAGAGGAAGGUAAUCCUUUCUUUUUUUUCUGAUUUACUGUGUUUCUUGUUCCAUAUGCUGUUAAAAGUUGCAAUUAUCUUUUGAACUCAACACCACUAUACCAACAGACAUAUUGUUUCCCUAAUGCGAUGGGUAGUUAGUUCUGUAUAGGAAAAUUUUGUAUUGGUGUGGAUUGACAUAUUGAUGGAACUUCAUGAACAGUUAAGUUGCUAAGUUUGCAACGAAAGUAAGUUAUUAAUGUAAUUCCAAAUCCGUGUUGCUUAAUCACAAGUACCGAAGGAAUUAAAACUUUUUGAAGUUAUAAUACCUCCAUUUUCUGUACAUUUUUAAGUCAAAACCUCUGAGUUUCAUAUCAAAUAUGCUUGAUUUUGUCAGAUCUUACAUGGUCUCUGUUUUGUUUCUACUGGAGCAUCUGCUUGGGGAUACUUCAUGAUGCCUUCACAUAGAAUUUUCUAACUUGUUUUUCUCCUUUUGGUAGUCAUGCAGGUUUUCUUCCUAAAAGUCAGAGCGACUUGUUUCCACAGCAAAUGCAAUCACCUCCUCUGCCUUUACUGGGAAACCCCUAUGCUGAGGGUGCUGGCCCUCCAUUUAGUGAAGUUCAACUGUAAGUUUGGUCUUUGGCAUCUAAAACUUGCUAGUUGUUCAGCAAAAUGUAUGCAGCAUUGUUCAGGACCAACAUAGCAUAGAAAUCUAUAUUAUUUAGUCUAAUAUAAAAAGAACAUUAGAAAAGUAGAAAUAAACUGAUACAAAGAAUUAAGAUUUUAUUGGGGAGUCAUCGGUCCUAGAAGGGAGUUAAAUUCUAUUUCUUUCACUUUUGUUCUUCCAUUCAAUACUAAAAUGAGAUACCCAUCUCUCAUACUAAAAGGAAAAAGGAAAUGAGGAAAUGAGAAAUUAAUAAAUUUAGAAUGUAGUAAUAGUAAUGGGAUCCAUAAAUUUCCAAAAAAUAGUUUCAUUUAGUUCAGGGAACAAGACAAUUUGUAAACUUCUACUCUGAUUACUAUAAACAAUUCUGCUUUCUUCAUUAAGCAGGUCUGCUUUGUCUUCCAACAUGUGGGGCGACCAGUCAAAGUCGUCGGGGGAUUUGACCAGCCUGCUCACUCAACCAGUUAUAUCUUCUGUCUCUGCAAAUGCUACUUAUGAUUCUAGAAGAAAGUCCCCAAACAGGCAUGUGGACUCUCAGGUUUCCAAGCGAAGCAGGUCGCCAAAUUUUUCCACCAGUAAUGGUGGCCCCUUAGAGGAUUCUUCACACCUUCAAAAUUCCCGGAGGUAUACAAGAAAAGCUUAUUUUAUUGUAUCUUUUAGUCUAUCGUGGGAUCAUUUUCUAGCAGCAGGCUAGUCUGACCUUUUUGUGAAGGGUCUUCUGCACAACUAUAGCUCUCUAAUUGUUUUGAUGAGACUUGUGUACUUCAGCCAUUAGAUCAUAUAGGAGCUCUUUUGCAAUGGUUUUCUGCAGUUAUCUGCUCUCUAGAUUUGCAGAUAUGGGUGAAUAAUGGAGAUUAAUAAGUCCCGAAUUUGUGGUUGAGAAGUGGGAAAAGUGAAAUAACAUUGUCAGUAAACAGGAGAUAAGUCUGCUUAUCUCGAUUACAUAAGUAAUGCUAAAUCACAUGCAGUAAUACAUGUAGUGCUUGACAUUAAUGCUUUUGGAUUUCGCAUCUGAGUGAUAUCCUGAGAAGAAUAUUGAGAGACAUGAAUGAAAAUUUUAAUGGGCAAGACCAGACCUUGUUGACAAAACUAAAUGGGACUGAUGUCUGGAAAUUGUUGCAACUCCAGAAGAUAGUGAAGUUCUUUGUACAGUUUCAAGCUGCAGAGAUCCUUAUAUUUCUUUUUGCUAGAUUUGUCACAAGUUUCUCCUUUCUGUUGUUUAAGAUGUAUGCUGGACAUGCAUUAAUGAACUACCAAUUCUCAUUUCAAGGCCUUCUACAUCACCUCCCAAACCAAGGCUGAGUGCUCAGUAUGUGCCUUCUGGUUCUCAAAGUCGUCAAGAAUCUUCAACAUCAGGGCACCUCAAUAAACCAGAAGUAGUUGCAAAUAAGCCUAUGACCUUUCCAGCUGCCAAAAAAACCAAAUUGCCUUCCUCAUCAACAUUAGAUCAAAUCUUUUGGGAAACUUUCAAUUCCCCGGAGGAUGAGAUAAAUCGGUAUUACAUUCCAUUCAACUUAAGUUUUUAAUUCCUUCUAAUUUUUACAUUUUUUCUUUACUAAGGCUUGUUAUUCACAGAGAGUUGCAAGCCAAAGCAAAGCGGUUGAUGCGAUUCAAGGAUGAAUUGACACAACCAACGGAAAAUGAUCUAGUUUCCAAAAAUCAAAGCUUUUCUGUGAAAAGACAGCAUCCAGUUAUGAUGGAGAAGCGGAAGUUAAAUGGGGAAGAUGCAGUUAAUAUGAUACAGGAUUCCUAUAAUGGUCAUCUCCCUUCUGAUUACGAUGGCCUGGAUUCAUCUGGAAUUAUAACUGGAUUGUGUCUUGAUAUGUGCCCAGGUAUGUCCUUGACUUGCCAUCUUGCACUCUAUUAGAAAUUAAAAUUGUGACUGUACCUGAAGGCCAUUGGACAAACCACAUUCAUUGAACCUUGUCCAUGAAAAAAUGAAAAAGUAAAAGGUUCAAGUAAAUUGUGACUGAUUUUUCAAAAUUAGGGAUGGGAAAAUAGUUUAACAUUGCUCCUUUUAAAUGUAGUUUUUGGAAGAGCAUUGAUGUGAUCAAGCGGCAUUUAGCUUUAAUGCAACUUUCAAUUGGAAAUCUACAGCAAGAAGCAAUUGAUACAUGCAAUUUCUUUGUUAACAUGUGAUUCCAUCGGAAAGGUUCUCUACCCAGAGAUGAACUCUCCUAGCUUUUUAGAAAUAAUGCUUGUGCACAUAUUCAUUGAUUCAGCUUUCAACUGUCCACUAUGAAUUUUUAAUCAAGUCAAUUGUAAGUUGAAUAUGCUCUUUGUUCUUGUAUUUUAGAGUCAGAGAGAGCAGAAAGAGAAAGGAAAGGAGAUCUUGAUCAGUAUGAACGCUUGGAUGGGGAUAGAAAUCAAACUAGCAUAUUGCUUGCUGUUAAAAAGGUACAUCUAUUGAAUCCUGAGUGGUCAACCAAACUUUUUGUCUGUCGUCAUUUGUUUCAGGAAGUGCAUCUGUACAUACAUAAUGUUCUCUACCAUCUUUCAGUACAACAGGACAGCUGAGAGGGAAGCUGGAAUGAUACGACCUAUGCCAAUCUUGCAAAGGACGAUGAAUUAUCUUUUAAAUUUGCUGAAUCAGCCUUAUGAUGAUAUGUUUCUUGGCUUGUACAAUUUCUUAUGGGAUAGGAUGCGGGCCAUACGUAUGGACCUGAGGAUGCAGCAUAUUUUCAGCCUGGGAGCUAUUAAGAUGCUGGAGCAAAUGGUCGGUCAUCUUAUAGUGUGAUCUAAUUUUAAUGUUUUCCAUAUGUGGAUUAGACUGAGGACAAUGUGUCCUAUUAAAAUCUGUGUUCUUAGAGGCUGUCUUGGAAGCUUGGAUGAUUAAAAUCCUUGAAAGGCUUUAACCAUCUUUAAAUUUUCUGUUGCGUUGAUUUGGGAACUAGAGUCGCAAAUUUGUUCCCAACAGCACUCGUAUGGAUUCUUCUUUUUUCAGUUUCCAAGAGGGUCUUGGUGUAGUGUUUUCGAGGUUUCAGUAAUUCAUUGGAUCUGGUCCCUAUAGGAAUCAUUCCCUCCAGAACAAUGUUCUUGAAACUACUUCUUAACGAUUCUCAAUACUCCAAGCUUUUUGCUGAUGCCGAUUUAAUUGAAUGUUAUUUAAUUCAACUUGUAUCUUGGUUAUUAAUUCCAUGUUAAUUGAUGUGCUUCUUUCUGUAAGCUAUUGGAACGUAUUUGUGUGACUAAUUAGUGCUAUUGUUUCCUUUCCAGAUAAGACUUCAUGUAAUAGCCAUGCAUGAGUUAUGUGAAUAUAAUAAAGGGGAGGGAUUUUCUGAAGGAUUUGAUGCACAUCUUAAUAUAGAACAGAUGAACAAAACGUCGGUUGAAUUAUUCCAAUUGUAUGACGAUCACAGGAAGAAAGGGACAAAUGUAGCUACUGAAAAAGAAUUCAGAGGUUAUUAUGCACUUCUCAAGCUUGAUAAACAUCCAGGAUACAAAGUAAGUUGAUCUGCUAUUGGAACAUGUCUUCAACUAUCAUUCUCAACAUCAUAUGUGAAAAUAAGAACAUUGUGACAUUGUGUUAGGUUGAACCUGCAGAGCUUUCUCUUGAUCUAGCGAAGAUGACACCAGAUAUGCGGCAAACUCAAGAUGUAAUAUUUGCUCGUGAUGUAGCAAGGUACGCCCUGUAUUUGGAUUUGGACAGGACAUAUUGUAAGUCGUAGUUGUUGUCUAAGAAGGAUUGUUCUGUUCUUGUAGAGCCUGCAGAACAGGCAACUUCAUUGCCUUCUUUAAGCUUGCACGGAAAGCUAGCUAUCUUCAGGCAUGUUUAAUGCAUGCACAUUUUGCAAAGGUACGUGUCAUUACUGCAUAUGCUUCUGUGGAAUAUAGCUUCUCUUGCAGAUCAUAUUUUCCUUGAGUUUACCAGUCAGAUUGAAAGAAUUAGCAAUUAGCAAAAAUUUUGUUUCACAGUCCAUUUUAUCCCUGAUAUUUGGCUUUCAGCCUUUUCUAGAUAAAAAUUGGGAUGGAUGGAUUAAUUAUGCUUAUUAUUGUUGAAUAUGUUGCAUUCGCAUUCUUGUAUUGUUUUAAUUGUUUGUCGAAUCCUUUUCUCAGUUACGAACCCAGGCACUCGCUGCUUUACAUAGUGGUCUGCAGAACAACCAAGGAAUUCCAAUAGAUCAUGUCUCUGCAUGGCUUGGCAUGGAGGUAAAUUUUUUCCAUCAAUGAGGUUGCUUUCUGUUCCAGAUCUUGGAUGUCUGACUUUUUAUUCAAUUUGUUUAGGAAGAGGACAUAGAAGAUCUUCUUGAAUACUAUGGGUUCUCUAUAAAGGAGUUUGAAGUACCAUAUAUGGUUAAGGAUGGUCCAUUUCUGAAUGCUGACAGUGACUAUCCUGUCAAGCGUUCACAACUUGUUAAUAAGAAAAAGUCUAGCUCCAUUGUUGAGGAUGUCUCAUAUUCUUGUCUAGCCAAAUCAUCUUCUCCUAAAGAAGCUAGAGUACUCGAGUUGAAUAAGGCUGUCGAGCAUAAACCGAUCCCCAUCCAAUCUCAGUCUAUUGAGAUUGACAACACUAACCAGGCAAUUGAUGAGGAAAUGCUUGAUUAUGCAUCAUCACCUAAAGAUGACAUCAAAGUGGCACCUACCCCUAGAACAUCAGUCAAAAGGAAACCAUACGAGGAUCAGUUAUCUCCUGCAAACCCUUGUUUGUGGGAUUCCUCUGUCUUUCAUUCCCCUAGAUCACAGCAAAAUAGAAUUGGAAGUAU